rnacentral:rRNA from 1 species
GUCCACGCCGUAAACGAUGAAUGCUAGGUGUUGGGGAUAUUCACUUUCUCAGUGCCGUAAGUUAACGCAUUAAGCAUUCCGCCUGGGGAGUACGGUCGCAAGACUAAAACUCAAAGGAAUUGACGGGGGCCCGCACAAGCGGUGGAGUAUGUGGUUUAAUUCGACGCAACGCGCAGAACCUUACCCAGCCUUGACAUCCUUGGAACCUAUACGAAAGUAUGGGGUGUCCCUUCACGGGGAAGCCAGGUGACAGGUGCUGCAUGGCU